CUGCCACCGAAUACAUUAGCAUGGGAUAAUGGAAUAGGACCCUGUCCUCCUAUUUUCAGUUGGUUUUGGCAGCGCGAGGACUAGGGUAAUGAUUAAUAGGGAUAGUUGGGGGCAUUAAUAUUUAAUUGUCAGAGGUGAAAUUCUUGGAUUUAUGAAAGAUUAACUUCUGCGAAAGCAUCUGCCAAGGAUGUUUUCAUUAAUCAAGAACGAAAGUUAGGGGAUCGAAGACGAUCAGAUACCGUCGUAGUCUUAACCAUAAACGAUGCCGACCAGCGAUUAGGAGACGUUGAAUACAAAACACCACCAUCGGCGCGGUCGUCCUUGGCGUCUCGGUCCUUCACGGGGCCGGGGCGCGGGGGCGGCUUAGCCCGGUGGCACCGGUGAAUGACUCCCUA
rnacentral:rRNA from 1 species